rnacentral:ncRNA from 1 species
AUAAAUAAAUAUCUCCGAGUUGAUAAUCCUAAGAAUUUAUUUAUGGAGGAUCAACCGUUGGGUAUUAUUGGAAACGAUAAUGCCUCCCAUUGUGGAAAGGAGCGAUUGAUAGCCGAUA